AUAAGAUUCAACUCAGCAAGCCCA
rnacentral:siRNA from 1 species